rnacentral:rRNA from 1 species
UGGGGAAUUUUGGACAAUGGGGGCAACCCUGAUCCAGCCAUGCCGCGUGAGUGAAGAAGGCCUUCGGGUUGUAAAGCUCUUUCGGCCGGAACGAAAUCGCAUCUCCUAACACGGGGUGUGGAUGACGGUACCGGAAGAAGAAGCACCGGCUAACUACGUGCCAGCAGCCGCGGUAAUACGUAGGGUGCGAGCGUUAAUCGGAAUUACUGGGCGUAAAGCGUGCGCAGGCGGCUCUUUAAGUCAGAUGUGAAAGCCCCGGGCUUAACCUAGGAACUGCGUUUGAAACUGGAGAGCUUGAGUGUGGCAGAGGGAGGUGGAAUUCCACGUGUAGCAGUGAAAUGCGUAGAGAUGUGGAGGAACACCAAUGGCGAAGGCAGCCUCCUGGGCCAACACUGACGCUCAUGCACGAAAGCGUGGGGAGCAAACAGGAUUAGAUACCCUGGUAGUCCACGCCCUAAACGAUGUCGACUAGUUGUUGGGGAGGGAAACUUCCUUAGUAACGAAGCUAACGCGUGAAGUCGACCGCCUGGGGAGUACGGCCGCAAGGUUA